rnacentral:misc_RNA from 1 species
UCCUUUUUAUCAAAGGCUGUUUUUGCAGUAACUAACAGCAAAUAGAGGUUGCGCUCGUUAAGGGACUUAACCAAACAUAUCAAAACACGAGCUGACGACAGCCAUGCAACACCUGAAAAGAAUAUAUUUCUUUUUGUCAAGAACUGGUAAGGUUAGGCGGGUAUUAUCGCAUUAAACCACAUGUUCCACCACUUGUAUAGACCCCCGUCAAUUCCUUUGAGUUUCAACCUUGCGGUCGUACUUCUCCGGCGGAGUGCUUCAUGCUUUCGCUUUUAAUGAGUAUAUAAAUUUUACCCCUUAGCACUCAUCUUUGAGGGUGUGGACUAC